rnacentral:rRNA from 1 species
CCUGGUCUUGNNNNUCUAGAAUCCUGCAGAGAUGCGGGAGUGCCUUCGGGAAUUAGAAUACAGGUGCUGCAUGGCUGUCGUCAGCUCGUGUCGUGAGAUGUUGGGUUAAGUCCCGCAACGAGCGCAACCCUUGUCCUUAGUUACCAGCGGGUUAAGCCGGGAACUCUAAGGAUACUGCCAGUGACAAACUGGAGGAAGGCGGGGACGACGUCAAGUCAUCAUGGCCCUUACGACCAGGGCUACACACGUGCUACAAUGGUAGGUACAGAGGGCAGCUACACAGCGAUGUGAUGCGAAUCUCAAAAAGCCUAUCGUAGUCCAGAUUGGAGUCUGCAACUCGACUCCAUGAAGUAGGAAUCGCUAGUAAUCGCGGAUCAGAAUGCCGCGGUGAAUACGUUCCCGGGA